ACGAACGCUGGCGGCAGGCCUAACACAUGCAAGUCGAGCGAGGACUUCGGUCCUAGCGGCGGACGGGUGAGUAACGCGUGGGAACGUGCCCUUUGCUUCGGAAUAGCCCUGGGAAACUGGGAGUAAUACCGGAUGAGCCCUUUGGGGGAAAGAUUUAUCGGCGAAGGAUCGGCCCGCGUUGGAUUAGGUAGUUGGUGGGGUAAUGGCCUACCAAGCCGACGAUCCAUAGCUGGUUUGAGAGGAUGAUCAGCCACACUGGGACUGAGACACGGCCCAGACUCCUACGGGAAGCAGCAGUGGGGAAUCUUAGACAAUGGGGGAAACCCUGAUCUAGCCAUGCCGCGUGAGCGAUGAAGGCCUUAGGGUUGUAAAGCUCUUUCAGCUGGGAAGAUAAUGACGGUACCAGCAGAAGAAGCCCCGGCUAACUCCGUG
rnacentral:rRNA from 1 species